UGGGGAAUAUUGGACAAUGGGCGCAAGCCUGAUCCAGCCAUGCCGCGUGGGUGAUGAAGGCCUUAGGGUUGUAAAGCCCUUUCGGCGGGGAAGAUAAUGACGGUACCCGCAGAAGAAGCCCCGGCUAACUUCGUGCCAGCAGCCGCGGUAAUACGAAGGGGGCUAGCGUUGCUCGGAAUUACUGGGCGUAAAGCGCACGUAGGCGGCUUGUUAAGUCGGGGGUGAAAUCCCGGAGCUCAACUCCGGAACUGCCUUCGAUACUGGCAAGCUCGAGUCCGGGAGAGGUAAGUGGAACUGCGAGUGUAGAGGUGAAAUUCGUAGAUAUUCGCAAGAACACCAGUGGCGAAGGCGGCUCACUGGCCCGGUACUGACGCUGAGGUGCGAAAGCGUGGGGAGCAAACA
rnacentral:rRNA from 1 species